AUUGAACGCUGGCGGAAUGCUUUACACAUGCAAGUCGAACGGCAGCACGGACUUCGGUCUGGUGGCGAGUGGCGAACGGGUGAGUAAUGUAUCGGAACGUGCCCAGUCGUGGGGGAUAACGUAGUGAAAAUUACGCUAAUACCGCAUACGAUCUAUGAAUGAAAGCGGGGGAGCGCAAGACCUCGCGCGGUUGGAGCGGCCGAUAUCAGAUUAGGUAGUUGGUGGGGUAAAGGCCCACCAAGCCAACGAUCUGUAGCUGGUCUGAGAGGACGACCAGCCACACUGGAACUGAGACACGGUCCAGACUCCUACGGGAGGCAGCAGUGGGGAAUUUUGGACAAUGGGCGAAAGCCUGAUCCAGCCAUUCCGCGUGCAGGAUGAAGGCCCUCGGGUUGUAAACUGCUUUUGUACAGAACGAAAAGGUUUCUACUAAUACUAGGAGCUCAUGACGGUACUGUAAGAAUAAGCACCGGCUAACUACGUGCCAGCCGCCGCAGUAA
rnacentral:rRNA from 1 species